UAUUGGCUGCAUACUUUUAUUGACUAUUGGCUGCAUACUUUUAUUGACUUCAAUUGAUAUGAAGGCAGGUUUUGUUAUGUUUACAAUAUAACACGGAGAUCGAAUCAGGACCUCUAACAUACUACCAAAUCCCUCACCAUUAGACCAAACCUAAUGAGAUAAACAAAGAAGUCAGCACUGAGAUAUAUAGCCCAAACAGCAGAAACAAAUAAAACACACACAGCCACAUAAACACACAAACGCAGUGGCAGGUCACAAACACAGAAACAAAACAAAAAACACAGCUGAGUUACUACUCAUAUGUAGUAAACACAAUCAAUUUGGUUCAAACAACUCAGUAACGCAAAAAAUUGAAAAUUGAAUUUCUUACAUUUAAUAAUAAUUCAUAACAUAACAGAAGAAUAAGGUUCUUCAGAUUACAGAAAUUUAUCAGGAAAUAUUAAAAAAUAUUUCUAUUAAAUCCCAAAUCACAAAAAAUUAGAAAUUUAAUUAAAAAAUUGAAAUUAAAAAACAAAAAUCAAAGGUUAUUGAAUCAAAUGAUGAAAACAUGAGCUAAAUUAAAUUGGAGAAAGAUAGAAGGGAAUUUAAGAAGUGCUUACGGAUUAUUAGGUUGAAUUGAUAGAUAAAGAGUUUUCCUAUGGUUUCAGUGACGAGAUCGGAAAGCUUGUGAUUGCACAACCUGGCGGCGGAGGAAGGCCACUACCCCAAUCAGACCAACGCUUUAUGAACAAGGAU
rnacentral:lncRNA from 1 species